GAUUUUUUAAAUUGCUGUGGUAUUUUGACUAUACAAAGGUAUUGAAAUAAGAUUUUAAUUGAAUGCUAAGAGAAUGGAAUUUCAGAAAAAUUCUUUUUUAAAACUAAAAAUUGAACUUAUUUUAAUUUGUGAAGAACCAAUUAUUCAUAUUAAGGACAAGAAGACCCUAAGAAUUUUUUGUUUUUUUUUAAAAAAUUUUUUAAAAUAAAAACUUUAAUUGGGGCGAUUAAAAAAUAUAAAUAACUUUUUUGAAAAGAAAAAUUGAACCAUUAUUAAUGGGAAAAUGGAAAAAUACUCUAGGGAUAACAGCGUAAUAAUUUUUGAUAGAUCAUAUUGACAAAAUAGAUUGCGACCUCGAUGUUGGAUUAGGAUACUUUUUUAAUGAAGAUAUAAAA
rnacentral:rRNA from 1 species